GCAGCGAUGUCCGAGUGGUUAAGGAGUUGGACUUGAAAUCCAAUGGGCUUUGCCCGCGCAGGUUCG
rfam:Gongylonema pulchrum genome assembly, scaffold: GPTH_contig0014240